rnacentral:rRNA from 1 species
GAGUUUGAUCGUGGCUCAGAAUGAACGCUGGCGGCAUGCCUAACACAUGCAAGUCGAACGAAGGCUUCGGCCUUAGUGGCGCACGGGUGCGUAACGCGUGGGAAUCUGCCCUUGGGUUCGGAAUAACAGUUAGAAAUGACUGCUAAUACCGGAUGAUGUCGUAAGACCAAAGAUUUAUCGCCCAAGGAUGAGCCCGCGUAGGAUUAGCUAGUUGGUGGGUAAAGGCCCGACCAAGGCGACGAUCCUUAGCUGGUCUAAGAGGAUGAUCAGCCACACUGGGACUGAGACACGGCCCAGACUCCUACGGGAGGCAGCAGUGGGGAAUAUUGGACAAUGGGCGAAAGCCUGAUCCAGCAAUGCCGCGUGAGUGAUGAAGGCCUUAGGGUUGUAAAGCUCUUUUACCCGGGAUGAUAAUGACAGUACCGGGAGAAUAAGCUCCGGCUAACUUCGUGCCAGCAGCCGCUGAAC